rnacentral:tRNA from 1 species
GCGGGGAGCCUGGCUCAGUGGUAGAGCACUUGCCUGACAUGCGCGAGCCAUGCUGGGCUCCAUCCCCAGUACCGCA